rnacentral:rRNA from 1 species
AUUGGACGCUGGCGGCAUGCCUUACACAUGCAAGUCGAACGGCAGCACGGGUGCUUGCACCUGGUGGCGAGUGGCCAACGGGUGAGUAAUAUAUCGGAACGUACCUUAUUGUGGGGGAUAACGCAGCGAAAGCUGUGCGAAUACCUCAUACUCCCUAAGGGGGAAAGCGGGGGACAGUAAGGCCUCGCGCAAUUAGAGCGGCCGCUACCUGAUUAGCUAGUUGGUGAGGUAAAGGCUCACCAAGGCAACGAUCAGUAGCUGGUCUGAGAGGACGAUCAGCCACACUGGGACUGAGACACGGCCAGACUCCUACGGGAGGCAGCAGUGGGGAAUUUUGGACAGUGGGGGCAACCCUGAUCCAGCAAUGCCGCGUGAGUGAAGAAGGCCUUCGGGUUGUAAAGCUCUUUUGUCAGGGAAGAAACAGCAGCUCUAACACAGUAUGCGAAUGACGGUACCUGAAGAAUAAGCACCGGCUAACUACGUGCCAGCCGCCGCAGUAA